UGGAAAAACAAUUUUACAAACUGAGCUGGACGGCCACACGCCCAGCCCUAAUCUAAAGACUCAUCUACAUUCUACUCAGGCGGGUGAAGCAGCAGAGGGGAAGUAAGGAUACUGCCGACAAAUAACAAGUGGUGCUUGUUUUGAUGUUUAGAAUUAGUUGCAAUGGCGCACAAAAGCAUCUUUUUUCCUGCCUUUAUUCCACAGUUGCAGCGGCGGCGGCGGCACCUGCUAAUGUAUUGGCGGAGUUCCUGGUAAACUCACUUGACUUCUCAACAAAAGAAGCCAUUUCUACAAGCGCCAAGCUAUCUCGUACUAAACACAGACACUAUGACCCGCAUUUGUUAUUUGAUCUCCUUGAUGAAAUGGGUAUGAACAAAUCACAGAUCAAAACUCUUGUUUCUUCUUCUCCUCAAUUGUUGUUUUGUCGUGUUGAUGAAAAUCUCAAACCCAAGAUCAAGGUUUUACAAGGACUUGGCUUGUCUGUACCUCAACUUGCUACAUUUAUGAGAAGAAGCAAUUUUUUGACAAGAGGUUUAGAUACUAUUAUACAGCCUAAUCUUGUUUAUCUAAGAGAUUUAUUGCCUACUCAUCAUCAUGUUGCUAUGAUUCUUAUAAAAGAGCCUAGGUUGUUUUCCUACAAUCUUCCUAAAGUUAUGCCACCCAAUAUAUCAUUGUUACAAAAUUUUGGCUUUACAACGCCUCAUAUUCUCAAGGCUUUUCACAGGCAUCCUAGGUUUCUCCUCAAUCGUCCUGAGUGGUUUGAGAGAGCAGUACAUCGACUAGUAAAUGAUUUUCAUAUGCCUCUCACUUCAGGGAUGUUUCUUCAUGGCGUUGAAGUACUUGUGUUGCUUGAUGAAUCUAAAUUAGAAAGGAAAUUAGAUAUUUUUCGCAGUUUUGGAUGGUCUGAUUCUGAUAUCUGCCUAAUGGUGCAAAAGCUUCCUUACUGUUUGGCUUCAUCAGAAGCUAAGAUAAAGACUACAUUGAAGUUUUUCAUGAACGAAUUGGGGUAUGAACCUAAUUAUCUGGCUUCUCGUGCACCGCUUUUAAAGUUUAGCAUGGAGAAGAGGAUCGUGCCAAGGAAUGAAAUCUUGAAAUUUCUUAAAGAAAACCAGCUGCUAAAAGGGAGGCUAUGUCUUUACACUGCUGUGUCAUUUUCUGAAUCAGAUUUUCAAAAGAAAUGUGUACUUCCUUUCAGGGAAAAGAUGCCCGAGAUGUAUGAUUUAUACAUGAAAAGUAGAAGCUGAAGAGAAAUCCCUACAGUGGAGACAAUGGCUGCAGAGCAAAGAGGGCAAUAUUGCUUGUCAACCUAAUUUUGGCUUGAAGAUUUUCUUUUAUUGUCUUGUCUAGGUAAGUGGGUCAACUAUCUUCAUUAUAUUUUGAAAGAGCACCUUCUAUCAACCCUGGUCAAGUGUGAGCAACUGGGCGUGAUGCUCUACAUGCAGUAGAGGAUACAUGAAUAUUAUGGUUGAGCUCAAAGGAUCAGAAGAGUGAUUUUCUCACCAUUUUUAAUUUGCUGCGACGUUCAGAAAAGCUGCCAUAGAGUUGCUAUGAGGAGGCCACUAAUACUGAUUUUUUUGAAAAUCAAUGCUGUAGUUGAGAAAGUAUGUAUCAGCACCAUUCUGAUUUUUCUCUUGUUACUAUUUGUAAGGGUAAAUCAAGCUGUUAGAGAUACACGCAGCUUAUUCUGUUAGAAUUUUUUAGUACAAUUCUCUAUCUAUAACGCUACUAUUAAAAAGGUUGUAUCAAAUUAUGCUAUCCUAUGUAAUUCAUUCCUCAUUAUCAAGGUUUAUUUCUUCCCUUGAAAA